rnacentral:lncRNA from 1 species
UCCAUCUCCCUCCUAGCUGCCUGGGCAUCCUGGCGGGCGGCACGUGACAUAUCGGAGGCAAUGCGGACGUCACGGUGGGCUGUAUGCACCUCAGUCGUCAAAGUUCCCAUAGCUUGCUGGAGACUCUGCACAUCGCGGCUGAUCCCUGUGGUGGUGGUGAAAAUCUGCCUCAAAACCUGAUUGUCCAUAUCAAGCUGGGAUGGUGGUGGAG